rnacentral:rRNA from 1 species
UACGAGGAUUCCCAUAGUAACGGCGAGUGAAAGGGGAAGAGCCCAGCGCUGAAUCCAUCGAUCACUGGUCGCUUGGAAUUGUAGCGUAUAGGUGCGGCUAUCCGCUCGUUUCGUGCACCCAAAGUCCCCUUGAGCGGGGCCAUAGUCCAAAGAAGGUGCUAGACCUGUACGGGUGGCGAGGCGGUCGGUUGGUCGCUCCUUGGAGUCGGGUUGCCUGGGAUCGCAGCCCAAAGUUGGUGGUAGACCUCAUCUAAGGCUAAAUAUGGCCACGAAACCGAUAGCAAACAAGUACCGUGAGGGAAAGUUGCAAAGAACUUUGAAGAGAGAGUUCAAGAGGGCGUGAAACCGCCGAGAUUGAAACGGAUAGAGUUGACGAAACUCGAUCGCAUUCAUCCGAUCCGCCUAGCGGUUCGGCGGUUGUUGACUUCCUCGAUGAGGGCAACGCCGUCGCUGGCUGUUGGGUGUUAGAUUGGUGUAUUUGCGGUCGGUAUGCGCCGAGAGCUUUGCGAGCGCAUGUUGACGUUGAUGUAGUGGACCACUCCCUCCGGGCGUGGAACCCUGCAUUGAUUGAGGCAUGUCGUUCGUAGGGUGUUGCUGGGUGACGUCUCCGCUAUGGUGGGUCGGCUUUGUUGGGCUGUUGCGGUUGCUGGGUGAUCGCAUGCGAGCGCCUGCAGCUUGCGAUGGUACGAUGAGGUGCGGACGCGCUUGAGACGUGCAUCUCGGUGUGAACGUUGACCACCUAUCCGACC